rnacentral:hammerhead_ribozyme from 1 species
GAGCGAAACCGCCCCGGCCUGGCCGGGACGGUCUGCCGGACGUGGUGGUCCGGU